ACCUGAAAAGUGCACGGGAGAGGAGGGGGGAAUCCAAAAAAUAAAAACGCGUCAAAUUAAAUAAAUAAAAACGUGAUCCAAAAAGCACCGUGCUAUGAGCUGUAAGAGGAAAUUGUGUGCAAUUGACCGAUGCCCGGUUAAAGUGAAGAGGAGCUGCGGUGGGAGGGCAACAAGAGUUGGAAAUGGCCUCCGUGCCACACCCAAAGGGAGCAGCAGCAGCAAGCUGUUUAUGUCAUGAUGUCAGAUGCUGGGUUGAGAGUGUGCUGCUGGAAAAACACAGGUCAGGCAGCAUCCAAGAAGCAGGAGAAUAGAUAUUUCAGGACAACCCCUCAACUCUGGAAUCAACCUAAUGAACCUCCUCUGCACCCCCUCCAGUGUCAGUACAUCCUUUCUCAAGUAAGGAGACCAAAUCUGCACACAGUACUCCAGGUGUGCCCUCAACAGCUAUAGCAUUAUCUCUCUGCUUUUAAACUCAACCCCUUUAGUAAUGGGUCAUAGUAGACAAUGUUGCAGGCAAACUCCAUUUGCCUUCCUAAUUACUUGUUGUACCUGCAAACCAACCUUCUGCAAUUCAUGCACAAGGACACCCAGGUCCCUCUGCAAAUCAGCAUGCUGCAAUGUUUACCGUUCAACUAAUUCUCUAGUUUGCUGUUACUCCUACCAAAAUUAAUGACUUCACAUUUACUA